AUGCAGCACUGUGCCCGUGGGCCUCCUGGAGGAACCAUGCACGGGCCUGGGCCGGCAGCGGAGGUAACGCUUGGAGACGCUUGGGGCUGCGUGCUAGCACAGCUUUGCAUGCCAGCUCGUUCCCCUUUUUGCUUCUCCUGGCCCACUUCCCUUCUGUCGCUCCGGCCACUGACCCACCACGGGUCUCGUGCCUGGGUGUACACACCAGCGCUCCUGGUUGCACGCAGCCGCAGCCUGGCACGGCACGGCACAGUGCGGCACGGCAUGGCACAGCACGGCAUAGCCUCGUGGGCAUCGGGUCCCUGUCCCCACUCCCAGCCGCAGGGAGCAUGGGGUGCCCAUAGCAUGGGAAUGAGGAAGGAGAGGGGUGAGCUGCAGCCCCUGUGCUCCCCUCAGGGAGGAAACCGGGCAAGAAAUCAGCGACAAGGUCACCCCGGGGCUGGGACAGGGGGGUGCUCCGGCCCCCAACUCACUGCCCCCGUUUCCAAAACCCCCGCCCUGGGGGACCCGGAGGCUUCCAACCCGCUCCCCUCCUGGGGCCCCGCAAACCGCCGUGUCCGGGCUCCGCGCAGCCCCCCCGGGCCGGGACCGCCCGUCCGCAAUGAGGACACCGGGAGACCCAUCCCCUGCCGCCCCCGGCCCGCGGCAGGUGGGGACACCAGCGGACGGGGCUCCGCCGUCCCUCUCAGCGGCGCCGACGCGGUUCCCCCACUCCCCCGACCCGGGGUGGUCCCACAGCUCCCCCAACUUUCCCCCCAGGAGAGCCCGCGGGGUUCACAGCUCCCGACCGAUCGCGGCGUCCUUCCCGUUCUUGUUCCUUGUCCCGGUGUCCUCCAGCCCCGCACCUUUAACCCCUCCCGGCUCCGCUCACCGGCUCCAGCGUCCGGCGUCCCGGCCGCUCCGCCGUGCCGUGCCGUGCCGUGCCGUGCCGUGCCGUGCCGUGCCGUGCCGUGCCGUGCCGUGCCGUGCCGUGCCGUGCCGUGCCGUGCCGUGCCGUGCCGUGCCGUGCCGUGCCGUGCCGUGCCGUGCCGGCGAGCCCCGAGCCCGCGGCACCGCGCGCGCCUGCCCGGCCCCUCCCCGAGGUGCGGCCGCUGCCCGGGGAGCGCAACCGGGGCCGGCCGGGACCUGCCCCGCCGCACCGAGCACCCGCAGCACGGGGGCGGGGGAACGGAUGGAGAGGAGCGCGGACCGUCCCCCAACGGGAGGGUCGAGCGCCGGGUGGGAGCGAGCCCAGGGCCCACCCGAGCACGGGCGCAAUGA
rnacentral:lncRNA from 1 species